rnacentral:tRNA from 1 species
GGCGCGGUAGCCAAGAGGAAAGGCAGCGGUCUGCAAAACCGCUAUGCGCCGGUUCGAUUCCGGCCCGCGCCU